CCGCAUGGUUCAAAAGUGAAAGACGGUCUUGCUGUCACUUAUAGAUGGAUCCGCGCUGCAUUAGCUAGUUGGUAAGGUAACGGCUUACCAAGGCAACGAUGCAUAGCCGACCUGAGAGGGUGAUCGGCCACACUGGAACUGAGACACGGUCCAGACUCCUACGGGAGGCAGCAGUAGGGAAUCUUCCGCAAUGGGCGAAAGCCUGACGGAGCAACGCCGCGUGAGUGAUGAAGGUCUUCGGAUCGUAAAACUCUGUUAUUAGGGAAGAACAUAUGUGUAAGUAACUGUGCACAUCUUGACGGUACCUAAUCAGAAAGCCACGGCUAACUACGUGCCAGCAGCCGCGGUAAUACGUAGGUGGCAAGCGUUAUCCGGAAUUAUUGGGCGUAAAGCGCGCGUAGGCGGUUUUUUAAGUCUGAUGUGAAAGCCCACGGCUCAACCGUGGAGGGUCAUUGGAAACUGGAAAACUUGAGUGCAGAAGAGGAAAGUGGAAUUCCAUGUGUAGCGGUGAAAUGCGCAGAGAUAUGGAGGAACACCAGUGGCGAAGGCGACUUUCUGGUCUGUAACUGACGCUGAUGUGCGAAAGCGUGGGGAUCAAACAGGAUUAGAUACCCUGGUAGUCCACGCCGUAAACGAUGAGUGCUAAGUGUUAGGGGGUUUCCGCCCCUUAGUGCUGCAGCUAACGCAUUAAGCACUCCGCCUGGGGAGUACGACCGCAAGG
rnacentral:rRNA from 1 species